CCCAAACCAGUUUCCCCAAAAUCAUUUUCCCCCCAAAAACCUCCCUCUCGAUCUCCUCCCUCAACUUCGCCGUCGACGGGCUCCAUCUCAUGCCGCGCCAUCUCCGUCGAGCUCCAUCGCCACUUUCCCCUCAAAAACCUCCCUCAACGCCCCCGUCGAUGGGCUCCUCUCCGGCCAUUCAUCUCCGCGCCACCGUCGACCAGCUCCAUCUUCGGUCGUUCCAUGUCCACGUCCACCUCCAUCUCACUCUAUAAAACUUCCAUUGCCACCGGUUUUUGGGACUGAUGAGACUGAGGAGUCAAAUCAGGAGCCUCAACAGAUUGGCAGAGAUGCUUGGCAUGAUCUUGCAUCAGGCACUGAAUAGUUAAUAGAGCUCUUGGGCUUCAGGAGCGCUUUGUAUUCACCUGAAACUAAGUGAUGUUUUCUGUUCAAGUUCUUGGAUCCUUCUUAUUGGGAUUAUUACCUAUUGGAUUUGAAGUGAAUCUUCGGGUAUUGACAAUA